AGGACGAACGCUGGCGGCGUGCUUAACACAUGCAAGUCGAGCGGAAAGGCCCUUCGGGGUACUCGAGCGGCGAACGGGUGAGUAACACGUGAGUAACCUGCCCCUAGCUCUGGGAUAGCUCCGGGAAACCGGGAUUAAUACCAGAUACGACCACUUUAGACAUCUGUCGUGGUGGAAAGGAUUCCGGCUAGGGAUGGGCUCGCGGCCUAUCAGCUUGUUGGUGGGUAACGCUACCGAAGGCGACGACGGUA
rnacentral:rRNA from 1 species